rnacentral:tRNA from 1 species
UCCUUCGCGGUGUAAUGGUCAGCACACUCGACGCAUAACCGAAAGGUCCGUGGUUCAAUUCCCGGCGAGGGCA